AUUGAACGCUGGCGGCAGGCCUAACACAUGCAAGUCGAACGGUAACAGGAAGCAUCUUGCUGCUUCGCUGACGAGUGGCGGACGGGUGAGUAAUGUCUGGGAAGCUGCCUGAUGGAGGGGGAUAACUACUGGAAACGGUAGCUAAUACCGCAUAAUGUCGCAAGACCAAAGAGGGGGACCUUCGGGCCUCUUGCCAUCGGAUGUGCCCAGGUGGGAGUUGCUUGUUGGUGGGGUAACGGCUCACCAAGGCGACGAUCCCUAGCUGGUCUGAGAGGAUGACCAGCCACACUGGGACUGAGACACGGUCCAGACUCCUACGGGAGGCAGCAGUGGGGAAUAUUGGACAAUGGGCGCAAGCCUGAUGCAGCCAUGCCGCGUGUAUGAAGAAGGCCUUCGGGUUGUAAAGUACUUUCAGCGGGGAGGAAGGGAGUAAAGUUAAUACCUUUGCUCAUUGACGUUACCCGCAGAAGAAGCACCGGCUAACUCCGUG
rnacentral:rRNA from 1 species